UGGGGAAUAUUGCGCAAUGGCCGCAAGGCUGACGCAGCGACGCCGCGUGUGGGAUGAAGGCCUUCGGGUUGUAAACCACUGUCGGGGGGGGCGAAUGCCCGGCUUCGAAUAGGAGACCGGGAGUGACGGUACCCCCAAAGGAAGCACCGGCUAACUCCGUGCCAGCAGCCGCGGUAAUACGGAGGGUGCGAGCGUUGUCCGGAAUCACUGGGCGUAAAGGGCGCGUAGGCGGCUGUGUAAGUCAGAUGUAAAAGGCUACGGCUUAACCGUAGAUUGUCAUUUGAAACUGCAGUACUUGAGUGCGAGAGAGGGUAGUGGAAUUCCCAGUGUAGCGGUGAAAUGCGUAGAUAUUGGGAAGAACACCAGUAGCGAAGGCGGCUACCUGGCUCGUAACUGACGCUAAUGCGCGAAAGCGUGGGGAGCGAACAGGAUUAGAUACCCUGGUAGUCCACGCUGUAAACGAUGAACACUAGGUGUUGGUCCCGACGUGUCGGGAUCGGUGCCGCAGCAAACGCAUUAAGUGUUCCGCCUGGGGAGUACGAUCGCAAGGUG
rnacentral:rRNA from 1 species